AAAUAACCAAACUGAGAACCGAACAGGUAACCCAAUAGAUAAUUUUUUUAAUUAUAUAUAUAUAAUAUAACUAAAUAUAUAUUAUAAUUUAAAAAUCUAUUAAAACUGUCCAAAAAUAUUUAAAGAUAACUAAAUUAUCAUAAAGUAUCCAAACUACCAAAAGUAUCCGAAAAGUAUUCGGAUAUUUUUAUCAUAAAUAUCUAAGAUAAUCUGAAAUGUCCAAGAUUUUUAUUCAAAUCAUCGUAAUUAUUUGAUAUUUUAUUCAAAAUACCCGAUUUUAAUCCGAGUUAUUCGAACUACCUGAAAUAAUCAAACCGGAACCGAAAUCAGAAAUAUAUCAAGUAAUAAUGGAUCUUUUAACCCUCUAUUCGAAUUACACGAUACUCAAAAU
rnacentral:lncRNA from 1 species